GGACUGAAGCCAAAGUCACCUACUAUAUAAGAGCGAUGAAGCACAGAUGAACUGCAGUCCUGAUCAAGUUUAGACCCAACAUCCUUGUGCCAAACUCCACUCGAGAUGGGGUUUGGCAGGGGGAUAUUGCUACCAGAAUGGGCUUUCCUGUUAGCAGUUUGCUGUAUCCAUCAAAUAGGAGGUCAGAUUGGAAGCCAAAUAGGAAAUCAGUUCUCUGGGGACCUUCUACAGAAACGGAAUGAUUCUUUCAGAAUUCCAACUAACUUGAACAUCUUCCCAUCACUGCUGACA